rnacentral:hammerhead_ribozyme from 1 species
GUAUUGCUGAAGAGUUCCAAAAAACUAGGACGAAACAGCUGUCUAGUAU